rnacentral:lncRNA from 1 species
UUUCAUUGCUUCUCUCAUGCCUGUGGAGUCAGUAGAUCCUGCAUCAUGGAGGCAGGGCUUGCGCAAAACUGGCAUUGUGCUGGUGCCCAGUAAGGGCGAAAAAUCCAUGGUGAGGCAUUUCUAUGUGCAAGAGUGUAUACUGGGUUCCAACAUAACAAGCUUCACAUGAGUGUUGGUUCCAGAGAUGCAUGUUUUAAGUCCUUACAGUGUGUUCAUGUUUUCCUCAGUAUCUGCAUCAUAAUUUUCUGUGUGAUAUGAAGUGUGUAGUGUGUGUUUAUAAAGCUAACCUCUAGAAGGGCAGUCUAUUUACUCUUUAAGGUUUAGAUUUUUUAUAUUUUUGCCUUACGACAUUAACCUUAGUAAAUGUGUUUUCUCCUGAAACUUUCAAUUAAAAUUUUAGACAUUAUUUAUAAAUUAUUUCCAAAUUAAGGAAUGAUUGGUUUUGAUAACUUGUUUUUGUCUUUUAUGAAAUAUGAAGUUUCCUACAUCAACUACAAAAAUUUCUCCCAAAGAAGAAGAAAGAAAAGAUGAAUCUCCUGCAUCCUGGAGGUUAGGACUUAGAAAGACUGGCAGUUAUGGUGCCCUGGCUGAGAUCACUGCAUCUAAAGAAGCUCAGAAGGAGAAAGACACUGCAGGCGUGAUACGUUCAGCUUCGAGUCCCAGACUCUCGUCCUCUUUGGAUAAUAAAGAAAAGGAGAAAGACAAUAAAGGAACAAGACUUGCAUAUGUCGCCCCUACAAUCCCAAGGCGACUAGGCAGUACGUCUGACAUUGAAGAGAAGGAAAACAGAGAGUCUUCAAAUUUGCGAACAAGUAGUUCUUACACAAGAAGAAAAUGGGAAGAUGAUCUUAAAAAAAAUAGUUCAAUCAAUGAAGGAUCUACUUACCAUAGAAGUUGCUCCUUUGGUAGAAGACAAGAUGAUUUGAUUAGUUGUAGUGUUCCAAGCACCACAUCAACACCAACAGUUACCUCUGCAGCUGGGCUUCAGAAAAGCUUCCUUUCCAGCACAAGCACUACUGCAAAGACUCCCCCGGGUUCCUCCCCAGCAGGCACACAGAGCAGUACCUCAAAUCGUUUGUGGGCUGAGGAUAGUACUGAGAAAGAGAAGGACAGUGCUCCUACCGCAGCGACCAUUCCUGUUGCUCCAACUGUUGUAAGUGCUGCAGCUUCUUCUACCACAGCCCUGACCACAACUACUGCUGGCACUCUUUCCUCCACAUCAGAGGUCAGGGAGAGACGCAGGUCAUACCUCACUCCUGUUAGGGAUGAAGAGUCUGAAUCCCAAAGGAAAGCAAGAUCUAGACAAGCAAGACAGUCUAGACGGUCAACACAGGGGGUGACACUGACUGACCUCCAGGAAGCCGAAAAGACAAUAGGAAGAAGCCGUUCUACGAGAACCAGAGAACAAGAAAACGAAGAAAAAGACAAAGAAGAAAAGGAAAAGCAGGAUAAAGAGAAACAAGAAGAAAAGAAGGAGUCAGAAGUAUCUAGAGAAGAUGAAUAUAAGCAAAAGUAUUCCAGAACAUACGAUGAGACUUAUGCACGUUACAGACCAGUGUCAACUUCAAGUUCAAGCACUCCGUCGUCCUCCUCACUUUCUACUCUAGGCAGUUCACUCUAUGCCUCAAGUCAGCUCAACAGGCCAAACAGCCUUGUAGGUAUAACCUCUGCCUACUCCCGGGGAUUAACCAAAGACAAUGAAAGAGGUAAG